GGACUGCUGGCUCAAUGGCAGAGCGUCUGACUACGAAUCAGAAGGUUCCAGGUUCGACCCCUGGGUAGUCCU
rnacentral:tRNA from 1 species